AGAGGCAGGCAGCGAGAGGGGAGGGAGCCCAUGGGCAAUAUCCAGAUGUCUCUUUGGUGCCCAGCAGUCCCCAUGGAGUUCUGUGGGAGUUGAGCAACAGCCAAGAGAUGGAUUGUGUCCCAGUGAGGACAAACUGCCCUUCACUCAUCUCCUCCUCAUCUUUGGACGGGGGAGUAAGCAAACUCAUACACUUGUUGCAGACAAGGGAACAACAUCUGACAGCAUUCAAAUCCAGCCGCAGUUGAAAGUCACACCAGUGGUCCCUGCUGUACCCCCAACCCCCACUGAAAGCCCAAUCCCCAAGGAGUGAGUGCUCUCUCGUGAAUUGCAAGGGUUUUAUUGCUGGAAUCUUCUAGUCAGACACCUGGACAUGGCAGAUUGCUGAGACUACUUAGUGAUCAGGCAAGUGGCUUCCUUGGGGCUCCUGGCAAGGAUGGCUCCAUU